rnacentral:rRNA from 1 species
AAUUCGCCCUUAGAGUUUGAUCAUGGCUCAGAAUCAACGCUGGCGGCGUGCCUCAGACAUGCAAGUCGAACGCGAAAUCUCCCUUCGGGGAGAAAGUAGAGUGGCGCACGGGUGAGUAACACGUAGGUAAUCUACCUUCGGAUGGGGAAUAACACCGAGAAAUCGGUGCUAAUACCGCAUAAUGCAGCGGCACCUAAUGGUGACAGUUGUUAAAGCGGGGGAUCGCAAGACCUCGCGUCUGAAGAGGAGCCUGCGGCGGAUUAGCUAGUUGGUAAGGUAAUGGCUUACCAAGGCGACGAUCCGUAACCGGCCUGAGAGGGCGGUCGGUCACACUGACACUGACAUACGGGUCAGACUCCUACGGGAGGCAGCAGUCGGGAAUUUUGGGCAAUGGGCGAAAGCCUGACCCAGCAACGCCGCGUGAAGGAUGAAAUCCCUCGGGAUGUAAACUUCGCAAGAACGGGAAGAAUAAGUCUGUGUUAACACCACAGGCGAUGACGGUACCGUUUGUAAGCUCCGGCUAACUCCGUGCCAGCAGCCGCGGUAAUACGGGGGGAGCAAGCGUUGUUCGGAUUUACUGGGCGUAAAGGGCGCGUAGGCGGCCACCGCAAGUCAAUUGUGAAAUCUCCGGGCUUAACUCGGAAAGGUCAGCUGAUACUGCGGGGCUAGAGUGCAGAAGGGGCAACUGGAAUU